CGUGCCAGCAGCCGCGGUAAUACGGAGGAUGCAAGCGUUAUCCGGAAUGAUUGGGCGUAAAGCGUCCGCAGGUGGUUUUGAAAGUCUGCUGUUAAAGCGUCAGGCUCAACCUGAUAAGGGCAGUGGAAACUAUGAGACUAGAGUGCGUUAGGGGCAGAGGGAAUUCCCAGUGUAGCGGUGAAAUGCGUAGAGAUUGGGAAGAACACCGGUGGCGAAGGCGCUCUGCUAUACCGUAACUGACACUGAGGGACGAAAGCUAGGGGAGCGAAUGGGAUUAGAUACCCCAGUAGUCCUAGCCGUAAACGAUGGAUACUAGGCGUUGUCUGUAUCGACCCGGACAGUGCCGUAGCUAACGCGUUAAGUAUCCCGCCUGGGGAGUACGCAGGCAACUGUGAAACUCAAAGGAAUUGACGGGGGCCCGCACAAGCGGUGGAGUAUGUGGUUUAAUUCGAUGCA
rnacentral:rRNA from 1 species